UACAGAGGAGCCAAGCGUUGUCCGGAUUGACUGGGCGUAAAGCGCACGCAGGCGGAUGCGCGCGUGGGGUGUGAAAUCUGGCCGCUUAACGGCCAGGCGCCAUCCCAUACGGCGCGUCUGGAGUGAUGCAGAGGUCGAUGGAAUUGCCGGUGUAGUGGUGAAAUGCGUAGAGAUCGGUAGGAACACCCAGGGGGAAACCAGUCGACUGGGCAUCUACUGACGCUGAGGUGCGAGAGCGUGGGGAGCGAACCGG
rnacentral:rRNA from 1 species